rfam:Schistosoma mattheei strain Denwood, Zambia genome assembly, scaffold: SMTD_scaffold0003948
AUCCAACCGAUGAGUCUCAAAUAGGACAAAACGUACGUCCUGCAU